CCUACGGGUGGCUGCAGUAGGGAAUUUUCGUCAAUGGGCGCAAGCCUGAACGAGCAAUGCCGCGUGAACGAGGAAGGUCUUCGGAUCGUAAAGUUCUGUUGAAGGGGAAGAAGAGCGAAGAGAGGAAAUGGUCUCCGAUUGAUAUUACCCUUCGAGGAAGUCACGGCUAACUACGUGCCAGCAGCCGCGGUAAUACGUAGGUGGCGAGCGUUAUCCGGAUUGAUUGGGCGUAAGGGGUGCGUAGGCGGCCUGCUAAGUCUGGAGUGAAAGGUACCGGCUCAACCGGUACAGGCCCUGGAAACUGGCGGGCUAGAGAGCAGGAGAGGGCGGUGGAACUCCAGGUGUAGCGGUAAAAUGCGUAGAGAUAUGGAAGAACACCAGUGGCGAAGGCGGCCGCCUGGCCUGUUACUGACGCUGAGGUACGAAAGCGUGGGGAGCAAAUAGGAUUAGAUACCCUUGUAGUC
rnacentral:rRNA from 1 species